GCAAGGAAUCUUCCGCAAUGGGGGCAACCCUGACGGAGCAACGCCGCGUGGGGGAUGACGCCCUUCGGGGUGUAAACCCCUUUUCUGCGGGAAGAAGGUGGGGCAACCCACUUGACGGUACCGCAGGAAGAAGGACCGGCUAACUACGUGCCAGCAGCCGCGGUAAUACGUAGGGUCCGAGCGUUGUCCGGAGUUACUGGGCGUAAAGCGCGCGCAGGCGGCGGUGCUGGCCCGGCGUGAAAGCCCCCGGCUCAACCGGGGAGGGUCGUCGGGGACCGCACCGCUUGAGGGCGGUAGGGGCUGGUGGAAUGCCUGGUGUAGUGGUGAAAUGCGUAGAGAUCAGGCGGAACACCCGUGGCGAAGGCGGCCAGCUGGGCCGUCCCUGACGCUGAGGCGCGAAGGCGUGGGGAGCGAACGGGAUUAGAUACCCUGGUAGUCC
rnacentral:rRNA from 1 species